GUCUGCCGCCAUGACGUGGGCUCCGUUAGGUUUAACGCCUGCCGGUGCUCAGCGAGCCUCAGGUGAGGUUGGCUCCUUCCGGGUAGGCUCGGUUCCGCUUCCCGGAAGCCGCAGAGUCUCUGGGCGUCCUCGGCUCUUCGCGACUGCCUUCGGCUUUCUUGGUGGCUCCAGUCCUGGGACCGUUUCCAAGCCAGAUGCGAUUCUCAGGGCUGCGGCGCUCAAAGGCAAAGAGGGACGGCAGCUUUCCCUGAGUGGGGCGCGCUCGGGCCACGCCCGAUCCGCCUAUCAGUCUCUGCAAAAACAAGUUACUGCGUGGACUGUGUCCGGAACCAAGGAAGUGACGUAGGCCAAUCCCGAGCGCCGUGGGCGGUUGGACAGUAGCUCCGCAAAGCUUACGAGCCAGGCUCUGGCCAAUGAAUGGACGAUGGUAGUUUGCGGCUCCUUUAUAACAGCUGCUGUGUGAGACACUCUACUAGGGAGUAGAUUAGCCGAGCCUGUGGUGACAGUUGGGGUAAGUGAAUGGAAGAAUGAAAACGUAGGUUCUAACGAUUCCCCUUUCCACAAGGCAGCAGGUGUAUAUGUGAUGCUGGAAGGCGUAAUAAGAAUCAGUCCGGCGUGUCCAGCGCUGCAUAGACCGCAUGAGCGCCAUUAAUGUGACCCAACACAAUAACUUAAAGUAUUUUUCUUUCUCGAGAGAGUGUGUCUCUCUCCUGUUAAAUAUCGGGAAGAGGGAGACGUUAAUGGUCAGCUUAGAAAGGAAGCUUACACAAUCCAUAAUUCAUCUGAAGGAUGAGGUUUAUUAGAAUGAAAGGGCCUCAAAGCUACGAGUUUCGGUGUAGGGGAGGGAGAAUUGAACAUGAGACCUUAGAGUUAAGAAAAGACUUUCCUUUAAAGUCUAGGGAUGGGGCUGAAGAGGUGGCUAAGCGGUUAAGAGCACUGAUCCCUCUUCCAGAGGUCCUGAGUUCAAUUCCCGCCAACCAUGUGGUGGCUCACAACAGUCUGUAUGUAAUGGGAUCCGAUGCCCUCUUCUGGUGUGUCUGAAAAUAGCCACAGUGUACUCAUACACAUAAAAAAUAAAUAAUUCUUUUUUAGAAAGCCUAGGGAGUGGGGGCUGGCGAGAUGGCUCAGUGGUUAAGAGCACUGACUGUUCUUCCGAAGGUCCUGAGUUCAAAUCCCAGCAACCACAUGAUGGCUCACAACCACCCGUAAUGAGAUCUGACGCCCUCUUCUGGUGCGUCUGAAGACAGCUACAGUGUACUUACAUAUAAUAAAUAAAUCUU
rnacentral:lncRNA from 1 species